GACGAACGCUGGCGGCGUGCUUAACACAUGCAAGUCGAACGGAAAGGCCCCUUUGGGGGUACUCGAGUGGCGAACGGGUGCGUAACACGUGAGUAACCUGCCCUUGACUUCGGGAUAACUUCAGGAAACUGGGGCUAAUACCGGAUAGGAAUCCUUGCUGCAUGGUGGGGGUUGUAAAGCUUCGGCGGUUUUGGAUGGACUCGCGGCUUAUCAGCUUGUUGGUGGGGUAGUGGCUUACCAAGGCUUUGACGGGUAGCCGGCCUGAGAGGGCGACCGGCCACAUUGGGACUGAGAUACGGCCCAGACUCCUACGGGAGGCAGCAGUGGGGAAUAUUGCACAAGGGGCGGAAGCCGGAUGCAGCAACGCCGCGUGCGGGAUGACGGCCUUCGGGUUGUAAACCGCUUUCAGCAGGGGCGAAGCUUGUGGUGACGGUACCUGCAGAAGAAGCACCGGCUAACUACGUG
rnacentral:rRNA from 1 species